GACGAACGCUGGCGGCGUGCUUAACACAUGCAAGUCGAACGGAAAGGCCCUGCUUUUGUGGGGUGCUCGAGUGGCGAACGGGUGAGUAACACGUGAGUAACCUGCCCUUGACUUUGGGAUAACUUCAGGAAACUGGGGCUAAUACCGGAUAGGAGCUCCUGCUGCAUGGUGGGGGUUGGAAAGUUUCGGCGGUUGGGGAUGGACUCGCGGCUUAUCAGCUUGUUGGUGGGGUAGUGGCUUACCAAGGCUUUGACGGGUAGCCGGCCUGAGAGGGUGACCGGCCACAUUGGGACUGAGAUACGGCCCAGACUCCUACGGGAGGCAGCAGUGGGGAAUAUGGCACAAUGGGCGGAAGCCUGAGGCAGCAACGCCGCGUGCGGGAGGACGGCCUUCGGGUUGUAAACCGCUUUCGCCUGUGACGAAGCGUGAGUGACGGUAAUGGGUAAAGAAGCACCGGCUAACUACGU
rnacentral:rRNA from 1 species